UUGCAUCCCGUUUAAACAGAGAGCUGCUGUUUAGCCACAGAAAUGGUGUGGCACAGGUAGUAGCUGUCAAAGCUUCACUCAUCAUGUUCCACCAAAGUGUCUCCACCCUGAUCUGGAAGGAGGCCCUCUAGAGGUGAGAGUAUAGUCUGGUUUCCAUGCACUCCAAUCUUUUGCUGUU
rnacentral:sRNA from 1 species